rnacentral:sRNA from 1 species
UCACGAUUCACCCAGUUCACAAGAACCGG